rnacentral:rRNA from 1 species
GCAAGUCGAACGGUGAAGCCUUUCAGGGUGGAUCAGUGGCGAACGGGUGAGUAACACGUGAGCAAUCUGCCCUUGACUCUGGGAUAACUUCGGGAAACCGGAGCUAAUACCGGAUAUGACGCAUGGCCGCAUGGUCUGUGUGUGGAAAGAUUUAUUGGUCAGGGAUGAGCUCGCGGCCUAUCAGCUUGUUGGUGGGGUAAUGGCCUACCAAGGCGACGACGGGUAGCCGGCCUGAGAGGGCGAUCGGCCACACUGGGACUGAGACACGGCCCAGACUCCUACGGGAGGCAGCAGUGGGGAAUAUUGCGCAAUGGGCGAAAGCCUGACGCAGCGACGCCGCGUGAGGGAUGAAGGCCUUCGGGUCGUAAACCUCUUUCAACAGGGAAGAAGCGAAAGUGACGGUACCUGCAGAAGAAGCACCGGCUAACUACGUGCCAGCAGCCGCGGUAAUACGUAGGGUGCAAGCGUUGUCCGGAAUUAUUGGGCGUAAAGAGCUCGUAGGCGGUUUGUCGCGUCUGCUGUGAAAACUCAGGGCUUAACCCUGAGCUUGCAGUGGGUACGGGCAGACUAGAGUGCGGUAGGGGAGACUGGAAUUCCUGGUGUAGCGGUGAAAUGCGCAGAUAUCAGGAGGAACACCGGUGGCGAAGGCGGGUCUCUGGGCCGUAACUGACGCUGAGGAGCGAAAGCAUGGGGAGCGAACAGGAUUAGAUACCCUGGUAGUCCAUGCCGUAAACGUUGGGCGCUAGGUGUGGGGCUCAUUC